UGAGAUCAUGACCUGAGCCAAAGGCAGAGACUCAACCCACUGAGCCACCCAGGCACCCCAGUAUUUGUCUUCUCAUAACUGGCUUGUUUCAGUUAACAUCAUCCUCAAGCCUCAUUCGUGCUGUGGCAGGUGCCAGGACUGCCUUCCUUUCUCAUCCUUGAAUAAUGUUUCAUUGUAUGGAUGGACCACAUUUUUGAUCUUGAACUUAUCCUUCCCAUGGACAUGGGCGUCGUUUCUCUCUUGGCUACCGUGAAUGCCGUGACGCACGUGAGUGUGCAAAUAUCCGUCUGAGUCUUUGCCUUCAAUUCUUUGGGGUGUAUGUCCAGAAGUGGAACUGCCGAAUCCUAUGAGACAUCAUUCAUGAGAGGAAGAGUCAGCUGAUGCAGCAAACUCCGUUGGCUUAUUUUGGGAAAUUUCAUGGCCCACCCACCUUCAGCUACCACCACCCUGACCAGUCGGCAGCAUCGACAUCCAGGCAAGACCCUCCACCAGCAAAAAGAUGAUGAUUUGCUGAAAGCUCAGAUAACAGUUAUCUUUUUUUUUUUUUUUUUUUUUUUAGCAAUAAAGUGUUUU